ACAGAUGCUCCUGAGAUUAAGGCUAUAUCCUUCUGCUCCUCAGAGGGAGAUAUGGUAAAGUGUGUGUGCAUUGUUGAGUCCAGGCCUCCCAGCAUGGUCCACUUUGUGCUUUCUGACAGAGUCCUGCCAAGCACCAAGGUAGAGAAACAUGACUCUGUUACCAUCGGGACUCUGCAAGCAGAGCUGGGAUCUUCUGCGUUUGUCCUCUGUCUGGCAAACAAUACGCAGGGCAAUGCCAACGUCACACUCUUUUUACCUGUUAACAGUAGGAUGCAGAGUCUUUAUAUUAUCAUCGCCAUUGGAGCAGGUGCAAUUUUGGUGAUACUUUUAACAGCAGUGGGAGUUGUUAAAAAAUGUAGGGGGAGAUCUGGAGAGGAACCAACAUCGCACAUGAAAACCAUGCAGGCAGAAAAAGAUGUGGAGCUCUCUCAGUAUGCUGCAACAAAAAGAAAAGAGAACUAUGAUGAUGUGCAUUGCCCUGGCAUUUAUGCCAAUGAUCCUGUAUAUGGCAACAUGGAGGUAUAUAAAGAUUUCUUCAUUCAUUCAUUAUUAUUUCCAUGCAUGAAAAAACAGGAUGAGUUAAUCAUGUUUCCUUUACAGGCUGACGAUGAUGCAGUAUACGCCAACAUGUAACAUCGUUGAAUUCAGUGGAGGAACAGCUUCAGUCCCUCUGCAUGUUGUCUAACUGAUGUUGGUCAAGAAAAUUGUUAAAAAUAUUGCUUUUUUUCUGUAUAUAAUAUAUUACAUUAUUUUUCUGUCUCUUGUGAUUCACAUAGAAUGUUAUUCAUGGCUAAAAAUAGCAGUAAUAGAAUUAAUGCAACAGUUUCCAUCUAUCAUUUUGAGUUGUGACAACAUAGAAUGAGUUUAUUAUUUAACCAAUGAACUAUAUUAAGUAAGGUGACUUAGCUUUUUCUCUACAAUGAAAGGUAUUUUUAAUUACCACCUACUUAAUAAUUGGUAGCAUAAAACGUUUUUUAUCUAAAAGGCAUUUUAAGUGUCAUGUACUUAAUAACUUCAAUGAUGGUUUUUAAGUUGACACACACUUUUUAAUUUUGUUUAUGUAAGAAAUUAAUUAAUUUGAUAAAAAAAAACUGUUUGUAUUGUGUAUGUGUUAUUUUGAACUGCAGUUUAACAGUGUUUGAACACACAAUAUUUAAAACUUGGAAAACAAUAACAACACAAAUUUAAAUUGUCCCAUACAUGGCCACCAAUCUUCUCAAGGUCCUGCAGUCUUUUUUACACAUUAUAGGAAAGACUUUUCAGAUAAAUUUGACAAAAACUGUAACAAACAGCAACAGACUGUCACUAUCAAUGUACAUUUAAGUUCCAAUAGCUCAGAUUCACGUCAGCAAAGCACAGCACUUUGGGAUAUCCUUGCCCUCCAGGAUUUUGGUUCCCUCGACCUCACGAUUCUGGGUGGCAGCACUGAUGGCGGCAGUUUUCAUCAGUUGUCUAUUGAGGCCUGCCUCAAACGCUUCUGUGUCCCUGUAUAGCAAAUUAAAAGAAAACAUUUGAUUUUGAUUUGAUUUGUUAAUACAUUGAAAGUAUUUUCCCAUGCCAUUGCUGUCAACGCCUAUCUGAACAGACCAUUGUUAUGAUAUUACAGAUUGGGGUGGGCCCUGAAGUGCAAUAUACGUCUGGUCACACGCUUUAAUUGACAAGAAGCAGAUUUCUGCCCUGUGUAUUUACACUGCCCAAUGUGGAUUUCAUUUUCUUUCAAAAUGUUGAAUUGCUUACUCUAAACUCCUUGAGAACAGUCCUCUUCCUUUUCUCCAAUUUUUGAAUUGGUGACUGUCAACAAAGAUAAGCCUAAUAAUUUCCAUACCUAGAGAAGCAUGUCUUUUAUAUGUACAAUUGUCACUCCUGUAGCUCCUGUCCUUGAUGAGACUACAUCCAUCAUUUUUGAUGUGCAAUGGUCAAGUUUGGCCAUUUUCAUUGGAAUUCUUUAUUUAUCUGUAGACCACACAAAUGGAAGAAUUCAGUCUUGCUGACAAUUAGCUAUACUGCAUCAAUUAAUACUAAAACACAUGAGUUAAAGAGGAACAACUCAUCAACCUAUGUGAACUCUGACAUACAGUGGUUAAAUAAGCAGGGCAUUGAAAUGAGUCUUAACUGUCUGAAUUUGCCCAGGCAUGUGAUGUGGGUAGGGGAGGGGACUUGAAGUGGAGAAAAAUUAAGUUAUCAAGCAAAUUUUAUUUAGUUGUUACAACUUGACUUUUGUUUUAAACCAGUUGACGCAGAAAUGUUAGUUAAAAUUACAACAUUAUUACCAACAUUAUUAUAUCAGCAGAACUAAUAAAACAUUUUUUGCAACUUAAAGGUCUAAAUCAAUAUAUUCAACCUUAUAGCCGCAACAACAACAGCUGCUUCCGCCAGA
rnacentral:lncRNA from 15 species